UACGUAGGUGGCGAGCGUUGUCCGGAUUUACUGGGCGUAAAGAGCGCGCAGGCGGUCGUGCAAGUCGCGUGUGAAAGCCCCCGGCUCAACUGGGGAGGGUCACGCGAUACUGCUCGACUUGAAGGCAGGAGAGGGAAGUGGAAUUCCCGGUGUAGUGGUGAAAUGCGUAGAUAUCAAGAGGAACACCUGAGGUGAAGACGGGUUGCUGGGCCGACACUGACGCUGAUAGCGCGAAAGCCAGGGGAGCAAACGGG
rnacentral:rRNA from 1 species